rnacentral:rRNA from 1 species
GGGCGAAGCCUGACGCAGCACGCCGCGUGAGGGACGAAGGCUUUCUGAGUUGUAAACCUCUUUCGACAGGAACGAUUGUGACGGUACCUGUAGAAGAAGCACCGGUCAACUAUGUGCCAGCAGCCGCGGUGAUACAUAGGGUGCAAGCGUUAUUCGGAUUUAUUGGGCGUAAAGAGCUCGUAGGCGGUUCAACAAGUCGGGUGUUAAACCCCCAGGCUCAACCUGGGGCCGCCACCCGAAACUGUUGUGACUAGAGUUUGGUAGGGGAUCACGGAAUUCCUGGUGUAGCGGUGGAAUGCGCAGAUAUCAGGAGGAACACCAGUAGCGAAGGCGGUGAUCUGGGCCAAUACUGACGCUGAGGAGCGAAAGCGUGGGGAGCGAACAGGAUUAGAUACCCUGGUAGUCCACGCCGUAAACGGUGGGCACUAGGUGUGGGGACUUUUCAACGGUUUCCGCGCCGCAGCUAACGCAUUAAGUGCCCCGCC